rnacentral:lncRNA from 1 species
AGACCAUCCGUACCGGCACCAGGUCCAAGGUCAGCGCCACAUCACAGGAAGGGACACCUGCUUCUUCAUUGUGUGGACCACCAAAGCCUCCAUCACCAUCCCCAUCCAGCGUGACAACCUCUGACAGACUCAUAUUGCUCCUCCUGUCAGUACCUGUUUUCAGAGUGAGAGAGAGAGAGAGUGACAACAUUACUUCAAAUCAGAUCUCCUUGCUGAGGGUGGCAUUGAUCAUGCACCGCUUCUUGUGUGGCUCGAUGUGCUGUAGUCUCCACAACUGGAUGUUCGGGCUUGAUUCACACUGGCACAGGAUGUCCAUGCACCGGAUGGCCUGAGGGAUGCACUCCUGUUGGGCUGAAAAACAAAGAGACAUUUGAUAGGUUAGCGUUUGGAUCUUCGUCUUCUGCCAUGGUGGAUGAACCACUUCAGGGCCAUUUCUCUUUCCCACAGGAAGAUGGCAGCUGCAGAUCCGAAUGUUGUCACUGGGUUUCCGGUCCGCCCAUCUGAAAG